CCUCAGUUGGGACUGCCCCAUUUAUCAGAGGAGUUAUAUAAACCUCAAAAGGGAGAGGGUUCCAGGUCUCCAUUCCUCCCCUCCCAGGAAGCUUCUUGUCCUCUAUGCAAAAUUAUCCACAUUCUCCCCAACAGACCAGCUCUGUACACUGGGACCAGGUUUUCUCACACUGCAAAUACUCUGUCCCCUCUUUCUCCCAGGUAAUGGGUGCCUCCUUCUCUAUAUUUAUACAAUGUAGAUAAGCCAUCCUGGUGAUUCUUCUCCAAAGACUUCUUCCAAGGUAACUAGUGUUUUCUAUUUGGAAAGUAGGCUCUGGCAACUGUGAAUAGGACAGCUUUUCCUAAUAAUAAUUUUCUAAGCUGCAUCUUGUCUUAGGUGGGGUUCCCUGUAAAAUGGACUCAGAGAUGGAGAUUUAUAUGCAGAUGGGAUGUUUUGGAGUGUGUUCUCAGUGUGAUAGUAUUUGGAGGUGGGGCCUUUGGGAGGUAAUUAGGUCAUGAGGGUUGUAUUAGCCCAUUUUCACUCUGCUAUAAAGAAAUACCUGAGACUGGAUAAUUUAUUUUAUUUAUUUUUAAUACAUAAAUAAAAUAAAAUUUUAUUUUCCCUCUAUUUCCCAGGCUGGAGUGCAGUGGUAUAAUCUCGGCUCAUUCCAACCUCCGCCUCCCAGGCUCAAGCAAUUCUCAUGCCUCAGCCUCCCGAGUAGCUGGGAUUACAGGUGUGCACCACCAUGCCUGGCUAAUUUUUUGUGUUUUUAGUAGAGAUGGGGUUUCACCAUGUUGGCCAGGCUGGUCUUGAACUCCUGGCCUCAAGUUGAUUUGCCCACCUCCACCUCCCAGAGUGCUGGGAUUGGCACCACCCCCGGCUGAGACUGGGUAAUUUAUAAAGGAAAGAGGUUUAAUUGACUCACAGUUCUGCAUGGCUGGGGAGGCAUCAGGAAACUUACAAUCAUGGCAGAACGAGAAGCAGGCACCUUCUUCACAAGGCAGCAGGAGAGAGAGCUUGCAUGUGAAGUGGGAGGAGCCCCUUAUAAAACCAUCAGAUCUCAUGAGAACUCACUCACUGUCACGAGAACAGCAUGGGGGAAACCGUCCCCAUUAUCCAAUCACUUCCCUUUCUCGACACGUGGAGAUUACAGGUCUCUCCCUUGACAUGUGGGGAUUUCAAUUCGAGAUGAGAUUUGGGUAGGGACACAGGACCAAACCAUAUCAAGUGUGGUAUCCCCAUGAUGGGAUCAGACACUGAAUUUGCCAUGAUCUCAUCCUGCCAGCACCUGGAUCUUAGACUUCCUAGACUCCAGGCCUGUGAGAAAUGAAUGUCUAUUGUUUAAAACACCAAAUCCAUGGUAUUUCAUUAUAGCAGCCUGAGCAAACUAAGACACAUCAUGAGGGCAGAAGCUAGGAAUGUCCAACAGAGUGCCUGGAAUAGAGUAUCCACUCAGUUGGUAGACAAGAGAUGAAUGAAUAAAUGCAUGUAUGAAAGAGUAAAUAUAAGCCCAACAACACUGUCAUUAUUAUCGUUUGCAUUUAUGCAGAGCUUUAUAUAUGCAAAUUACUCUGCUAAAAUAUGUUAUAAAUAUGUAAGUGCUCUAAGCAAUAAUUCUUAAUAAAACCUGCCAUCAAAAUGAAUUAAUAUUUAGUAGGCACAAACUAGGAGCACGAACCCUGUAUUAGUCAACUCUCCAAGAAUGCAUCUCUCUUCAUAAUAGAACUAUUUGGAGGUUUCAGAGCCGGCAUCCUAACUCAUCUCUUAAAUUGCUUUUUAUGCCCCCUACAUUGUUAAAUAAAUCUCCUUUCCUUGUGCCCAAAUCCUGUUUUCGUGAUAUAGUGUUUCGAAAGUCUACUGAGCAUUUUAUUCUGCUACCAAACUGUUUGAUCUUACCUCUUUUUGCAUCUCUUCUGAUGUUUGUAAUUUUCUUGCUGGUAGUCCGAUUUCUCAUGGACACUUAUAGUUUUGACUAUUCAGAACAGCAACUCCCUUCUGAGAAAGGCUCCAUCAAAACCCCAUGUGACCCUAGUAUGUGGGGAAGGUGACAUCAUAGAACCUCACCCCCAGGACCACAGUGAUUGGCCCAUGGUUGAGCACAUGACCCAAGCUGGACCAAUCAUGGUUCUUCCCUCCAAAAGGUUUUACUUGGGAAAAACAGGAAAAUAAGUUGGGAAAGAAGAGGGCUUUUUUCCCCACUCUGUGAAGUUGCUUGCUUGGCUGGAAGUCCAGAGCUAUCAGAGGCCAUCCCUUACCCCGUGAAGGAGCUGUCUUGCAAUAGAAGAAGCAGCCCACCCACUUCUACCUGGAAUGUUCUCCACAUUCCCUCCUUUCCAGCUGCCACCUGCUUUCUCUAGCUAACACCUACUCAAACGUAAAGGUUCAGUUCAGAUGUUACUACCUCCAUAAAACCCUUGGAUUCUCUCAUCCCUUUUCCCCUUCCCUGUCUGGCCUGGCACAGG
rnacentral:lncRNA from 1 species